rnacentral:rRNA from 1 species
UACGAAGGGGGCUAGCGUUGCUCGGAAUCACUGGGCGUAAAGCGCACGUAGGCGGAUUGCUAAGUCAGGGGUGAAAUCCUGGAGCUCAACUCCAGAACUGCCUUUGAUACUGGCGACCUUGAGUCCGGGAGAGGUGAGUGGAUCUGCGAGUGUAGAGGUGAAAUUCGUAGAUAUUCGCAAGAACACCAGUGGCGAAGGCGGCUCACUGGCCCGGUACUGACGCUGAGGAGCGAAAGCCAGGGGAGCAAACGGG